GAUGAACGCUGGCGGCGUGCCUAAUACAUGCAAGUCGAGCGAACAGACGAGGAUCUUGCUCCUCUGACGUUAGCGGCGGACGGGUGAGUAACACGUGAUAACCUACCUAUAAGACUGGGAUAACUUCGGGAAACCGGAGCUAAUACCGGAUAAUAUAUUGAACCGCAUGGUUCAAUAGUGAAAGACGGUUUUGCUGUCACUUAUAGAUGGAUCCGCGCCGCAUUAGCUAGUUGGUAAGGUAACGGCUUACCAAGGCGACGAUGCGUAGCCGACCUGAGAGGGUGAUCGGCCACACUGGAACUGAGACACGGUCCAGACUCCUACGGGAGGCAGCAGUAGGGAAUAUUCCGCAAUGGGCGAAAGCCUGACGGAGCCACGCCGCGUGAGUGAUGAAGGUCUUCGGAUCGUAAAACUCUGUUAUUAGGGAAGAACAAAUGUGUAAGUAAAUAUGCACGUCUUGACGGUACCUAAUCAGAAAGCCACGGCUAACUACGUG
rnacentral:rRNA from 1 species